rfam:Schizophyllum commune H4-8 unplaced genomic scaffold SCHCOscaffold_8, whole genome shotgun sequence.
GCCCGCCUAGCUCAAUCGGAUAGAGCGUCAGACUCUUACACGCUAGGCAAGGGAAUCUGAAGGCUGCGAGUUCGACCCUCGCGGUGGGCU